AUUGAACGCUGGCGGCAUGCCUUACACAUGCAAGUCGAACGGCAGCACGGGAGCAAUCCUGGUGGCGAGUGGCGAACGGGUGAGUAAUAUAUCGGAACGUGCCCAGUCGUGGGGGAUAACGUAGCGAAAGCUACGCUAAUACCGCAUACGAUCUAUGGAUGAAAGCGGGGGAGUCGCAAGACCUCGCGCGAUUGGAGCGGCCGAUAUCAGAUUAGGUAGUUGGUGGGGUAAAAGGCCUACCAAGCCUUCGAUCUGUAGCUGGUCUGAGAGGACGACCAGCCACACUGGAACUGAGACACGGUCCAGACUCCUACGGGAGGCAGCAGUGGGGAAUUUUGGACAAUGGGCGCAAGCCUGAUCCAGCAAUGCCGCGUGCAGGAUGAAGGCCUC
rnacentral:rRNA from 1 species